UCCAGACUCCUACGGGAGGCAGCAGUGGGGAAUAUUGCACAAUGGGGGGAACCCUGAUGCAGCGACGCCGCGUGAGUGAAGAAGUAUUUCGGUAUGUAAAGCUCUGUCAGCAGGGAAGAAGAAAGACGGUACCUGACCAAGAAGCCCCGGCUAACUACGUGCCAGCAGCCGCGGUAAUACGUAGGGGGCAAGCGUUAUCCGGAUUUACUGGGUGUAAAGGGAGCGUAGACGGCAGGGCAAGUCUGGGGUGAAAGGCAGGGGCCCAACCCCUGGACUGCUCUGGAAACUGUCCGGCUGGAGUGCAGGAGAGGUAAGUGGAAUUCCUAGUGUAGCGGUGAAAUGCGUAGAUAUUAGGAGGAACACCAGUGGCGAAGGCGGCCUGCUGGACGGUGUACUGACGCUGAGGCUCGAAAGCGUGGGGAGCAAACAGGAUUAGAUACCCGUGUAAGC
rnacentral:rRNA from 1 species